CGGCCGCAGGUUCGGGUCUCACGUAGUGAGACAACGGAGCCGCUUGCGGCGACGGCCCGAAGGGCGAGCAAAGCGAGUCAUCCUGCACGACCCACCA
rnacentral:sRNA from 1 species